AACGAACGCUGGCGGCAGGCCUAACACAUGCAAGUCGAGCGCGCCCUUCGGGGUGAGCGGCGGACGGGUGAGUAACGCGUGGGAACGUGCCCUUUUCUACGGAAUAGCCUCGGGAAACCGAGAGUAAUACCGUAUACGCCCUUUGGGGGAAAGAUUUAUCGGAAAAGGAUCGGCCCGCGUUGGAUUGGGUAGUUGGUGGGGUAAUGGCCUACCAAGCCGACGAUCCAUAGCUGGUUUGAGAGGAUGAUCAGCCACACUGGGACUGAGACACGGCCCAGACUCCUACGGGAGGCAGCAGUGGGGAAUCUUAGACAAUGGGGGCAACCCUGAUCGAGCCAUGCCGCGUGAGUGAUGAAGGCCUUAGGGUUGUAAAGCUCUUUCAGCUGGGAAGAUAAUGACGGUACCAGCAGAAGAAGCCCCGGCUAACUCCGUG
rnacentral:rRNA from 1 species